GCAGGUCGCUUGUCUUGGGUGAGCCCGGCUGGCUUCCGGGGCCGCACUCCGCCCUGGCCAGCUGCAGAACGGAAGCCUGCGUAACCUUGGGCUUGGAAGACACAGAACCCAAAGCGGCUCAGGGAUAAGAGCCAGGAGGGUUCAGCUGCUUCGGAUUCGUGUCCACCUUUUUCCUCUCUGCCUCAGUCACCGCCUUUUCUCUGCCCGUUGGUCUCCUUCUGUCCCGGUACCAGGGAACUCUCCAGGCAUCAGAGUAAUGGCUGCUUUGGGGCAGGUUUCUUUUGUCUCCCUGAGUCACCCAGACAGGCCAGGUGGUGCUUAAAAGAAAGCUAGGAGAAAAGCCUGAGUCUCUAAGGAGACCUCCAAGGGUUCUGCUCUGAGCAGCUGUCCGUGACCGCAGUGGGGGGCCAGGGCAUGGGGGUGCAUUUGCCUCCAGGUCGUCAGCAAGCCAUCCCAAGACGAGCGUCCAGGGGCUCAGCCCUGACUGGCCAUCCAGGGACGGGGCCUCUGCCAGGGUAAGAUAUAAAGUCAGCGGACAAUUAAGACGGGCUGACCACUGAGGCUAGAAGAGCGGGGCAGCACGCUCACUACCCAGCUCGCUGAUGCCCAGAUGUGAGCUAAAGGCACAGAUGUUUGUGAUGCAAACAAAGUGAAACAGACCUGUGCCCAGAGCGGGUGCAGCUCACCCUUCAGAGCGACAGCUGUGGUGGGAUUUCUAAGCUGAGGGGCGCGGAUAUUGUAGAGCCUGGCCACGCGCAUGCCAGAACCCCCCAGAGCGUCAGCUUAGACUCAAAACAAGGUUUGCCCUUAAAACAGGACAGCAGUAGUUUUUAAAUAUGGCUGGUGUGCACGGGGUCCGCCUGGCCCAGCAGGGCUCCUGAGGACGAGCGACCGUUGGAUAACUGAGCCUCGUUUGGGUCCGUGUUGGCACUCCCGGCAUGUGCGGCCACGGCCACGGC